rnacentral:lncRNA from 1 species
CUGGGCUCUUUGUUUUAAAAUGUCCAGUCUACAGAGUUCGGGUUGGAUCUAGUAGGAGGCGAAGCUUAGUCACCAGUUUUUCUGCCAGUUUUCAUCAGUAGGUUACAUGUUUAACCUACUAGUGUUUUCUUGCUUCCGCUAGUGUCUAGUAGCUCUGAAUACUUUGGGAUUAUUGUAUAUUAUUUCGGUAGUGUGCUCGGUCGGUUGACUUCAUGUCACAUCCCGACCCUUAUAUUUUUACCUUAUUUACUAGCCUGAUUAUAAUAAAAAUUUUACCGUCUCGAUCAUUGAGUAAAUAGUUUAAUUGGUCCCUAGAGGGGUUUCGGGGACGAUUAUGUGCGGAGGAUUAUUAGUAUGAGGAAAAUACGACGACGGUAAAGAUGGUAAAUUUUAGCUAGUAAAAGGUAAUUUUUAUUCGGGUAUUAUUUUUUCGGGGUGUUUUUAUUUUUUUGGAAGUGGGUUGAUAUAGGUUGGACCGGUGGAGGCCCAACCCAUUUUCUUUUUCCUCCUCCCUUUCUCUUUUUCCCUCUUUUCUUUUCCUCUCCCCGAGCCUCCCGCUGCCCGGUUUUCCGGCUGUCCUCCCGCCGCCGUCCGACCUCCGUUCGCCGCCGGACCGGUCCCGUUCGGUCGGUCUCCCUCCCAGCAACAUUUCUAGACCGGUGAGAGGAGCCCUAGCGCCGCCGUGAGAGAGCGGUGCCGCCCGAAAGCAAGGGCUGUCCCGAACUUCCCUUCGCCGGAACUUCCUCCUCCGGCCACCAAUCCGGGCAAGCUUGGUACGGUUUUGUAGCCCUCCUCCCGUGCAACAACCCCUCCAAACAGCUCCCUCCCUCUUGAGCUAGGUAAGGAGAAAUUUGAGGUGGAAGUUUUAUGGUGUUUAAGUUGUUUUCAUUCGAUUAGCCUAGUUAGGCUUGGAAUUGGGUGAUGUGUUAGUCAUGAAAAUUGUAAAGGAGAUUGAGAGGAAGAUUCUGUUAAAAUUUGGUAGCAUUUGCAGGUCGCCGGAAAACGGCUGCCGGCCGCCGCUGCCGGCGGCGGCGCCGCCGGUUAGGAGAUUUUUAGGGUUUUAAAUGUGGAAUAUUAAGAGGAGUAUAUUGGUGUGAUUUAUGGAAUUUUUGGAUGAGAUUUGGAUAGGUUUGUGAUUUUCCGAAGUUUGGUAUUUUUGGCGGUUAAUUAAUGUAGAAUCCGGCCGUAGGAUUUAAGUCGUAUUUUGAGGAGGUUAUAUUUAUGACUGUGGAGUAUGAUAUUUAAGUUCGGAUCGUCCGAUGUAAGAAUAUCGAAGUUAGGCAAUAAUGAGCGUAAUUAUGGCUCUCGGGUAAUUUUGCCUAUUUUGAUUAAAUAUUGGAUUAUUGGUUGGGAAAUUAAUAUUUUAUUUGGAACAGGACGUGAGGAGGCUCGAGCAGACGAGACCCCAGAUCGAUAUCAGGCUUAGGCCUAAUUUGUGAGUGGACGUUUAUUUUAAAUAAAUGCAUGCUAAAAUUCACGAUUGAAUAAUUAAUGUCGUGGAGUAUUUUGACGUUAUCUUAAUUUUUGACGAUUUUUACUUCUCUUGGAGAGAUACCGAAAAUGGGAUUUUCGGUGGAUAUAAAUAUGUAUUUAUGAGAGAGUAUGUAUAGAAAAUGCUAGCUAGCCAUAUGUGUCUGUCCACCUUAAUGGCGUAGCAUAUAGCCGCAUUAUGGUGUGACGUGAGCGUUGGACGUAAGCGUAGUAGCCCUAUUUGAGUGUUUAAUUCAUAUAGGGGGUAUGGACACAUAUUUAUACACCCGUCUGUCCACCUUGAUGGCGUAGUGUAGCACCGCAUUAAGGCGUGACGUGAGCGUUGGACGCGAGCGUAGUAGCCCUAUAUAGACCCAUGAAUUUAUAUAGGGAGUAUGGACGAGUGUAAAUACAUACAUAUAUUAUAGAGUCUGAGAGGCUCGAUAUUUUAUGGGAUAAAAGUUUUAUCGCUUGCGGCAUGCAUUCGAUUUUUCCUUAGAAAUUAAUUUGGGGAAACAUAAAUAUUUUAUUUAUUAUUUUAUUUUUGUCCACUCACUCUAACGUUAUUAAAUGUUUUCCCCUGGGCCCUUCGUUUUAAAUUGCCCAGUCUGUAGAGUUCGGGUUGGAUCUAGUAGGAGACGAGGCAUAGUCACCCGCAUUUCUGCCAGUUUUCGCUAGUAGGUUACCUGUUCAACCUACUCGUGUUUUCUUGCUUCCGCUUGUGUUUAGUAGCUCUGAAUACUUUAGAAUUUUUGUAUAUUAUGCGAUGUUCAGAAGUGAUAAAUUGAGAGUGUAAUUUGAAAUUUUCGAGUUAGGGUUGUCCAUCUGCAAGGGAGAUUUUCUUAAUCUUUUCAGUAAAUUUUCCUUGGAGGUGGUCCCCGCACGACUUACUCUGGGUUUCAGGGUGAAAUUCGGGGUGGGUCGUGUCACUUCAUGUUUAGAAUUUCUGAAGGAUAAGAUUUGCUGUUUUUAGCUGGAUAAGUAUGUGACGUUUGGACGUGCUGUAAUAAGAGUAAAUCUGAAUUUUUCGAGUUAGGGUUGUCCAUUUUCAAGGGAGGUUUUAUCAAUUUUUAUGGUAAAUUUUCUUUGGAGGUAGUCCCCGCAUGACUUACUCCGGGUUUCAAGGUGAAAUUCGGGGUGGGUCUUGUCAGUAUUAUUUUUUGGGGUGUUAAUUUUUACUGUUAGGUUUUAAAUGGUGGGUUGUGGAACCGGUUUGGAGGCCCAAACCUUAAUUCUCUCUAUCUUUCCCCGACUCUCUCCUCUCCCUCGAUUCUUCUUCCUUCGCCGGUGUUCUCCUCCAUUGCCUGCCGCCGUCCGGCCAGCUCCGGCCGCCACACCGGUCCCCAUCGAACCAUCGCCUUCUCCUCUUCAUUCCUGGAUAGGUGAUCGAGCUGUUGUCGCCGCCAUGUGGAGGUAAUCACCCCUGGAAGUCCGGCUGCCCUUCCGCCGGAGCUCCCUCCUCCGGCCACCAUAGCCAGAGCCACUUGGCUUGUUUGAAAGCCCUCCUCCCGUGCAGCAAUCCCUCCAAAGGAUUCACUCCCCCUUGGUCUAGGUAAGGAUAUUUUGGUGUUGGAAAUUCUAGGGCUCAAUUUUAUGUUUUGGUUCGAUUACCCUAGUUAGGCUUGGAAUUAGGCUUUGUGCUAGUUUGGAAAGUUGUAGUAGCCUUGUAUGAAUUUCUAUUUUUGUUAUAUUUUUUUCAUAAGAAAUCAUACGAGUUUGACGAGUGUAAAUACAUACAUAUAUAUAAGUUUAUAUAUAGUUAGCCUGAGAGGCUCCAUUUUAUUAAGUUUUGGAGACUAGCCGGAGCUAGUCAUGUAUUUGCCAGUUUAUGAGUUGAGAGCUUUUGAGCUUGUCGCAUGCAGCGUAAAUUUUCCACAGAAAUUAAAUUGGGAAAGCAUAAAGAUUUUGAUUGCUCGUUUCUUUUAAAUUUACUUUUGUCCACUCACUCUAAUGUGUUUCAAAUGUUUUCCCUUGGGCCUUUCGGUUUUAAAUGCCUAGUUUGCAGGUUAGCAUAGUUGAGGUCGAGCGUACAUGAAGACGAGAUAUAGUCAAUAGUAUAGCUUCCGCUCAUAUAUAUAAAUAUAUAUAUUUCUAGUUCCUUUCUUCUUUGUUAGGGCUCUGAACCUGUGAUUGUUGGUUGUGGGAUUGUGAGUCUUAAAGUUAGUAAAUAAAUUGGGAGAUGUUGUGUUUUGGGGAGCACGAAAGCUCUAGGAGUUAUAAGGUUGGAGUUCGAACUUUUAGUAGUGUUUGCUGGUGUUUUUAUUUAGGAAUGGUUGUCUAUUUUUAAGGAAUGUUAUGCCGGAUUUUCGGUAAAUUUUCCUUGAAGGUGGACCCCGCAGGAUUUAAUUCAGGUUUCAGGGUGAAAUCCGGGGUGGGUCCUGACAUUAGACAUGGAUAUGGGCCUGAUUUGGUCUUUUCCUACGUGGGGGUAAUCUUUGGUGUGUCGUUCCUUCUUGCUAGUUGCUACGGUCAUUUUCUCCCAUUACUCAUUUUCUAAUUGAUCAUAAACAAAAAAUAAAAAAUUAAUUUUGGGCCCAGCCCAAGUUAACAGCAGUGAUCUCUCCUUUCCCUUUGGUUUAGGCCCGGCCCAUGUUAUGGAAAUUAGCCCAAUUAGGGCAGUUAUGUAUUUCUCUUUACAUCAAAUUAUUUUAUUAGAUUUUGGUAAUUUACUGCUUCCAAUAAGUCCUGAUCUGGAUAUGUGGGCUACGUCCCGACUUGCUCAUCUUGCGUACGAUGUUUUCUCUGGGUAGGCAGCGAGUUGCUUAUUUCGUCAAAUGGUCGCAGCCUCCUAAUAGCAAGAUGAAACUUAAACUUAGUCACUGGUAAAAUGUCAGGACCCACCCCGAAUUUCACGCUGAAACCCGAGAUAAAUCCUACGGGGUCCACCUCCUAGAAAAAUUUAUCGAAAAUUCGGCAUAAUCUACCUUGAAAAUAGACAAUCCUUACCUGAAAAAUCCAACUUAAACUUCAAUAACCAAACAAACCAGCCUCAACACCUAGAGCCUUCCUGCUCCCCAAGUUCAUCACAUCUCCCAAAAUAUCAAAUACUAACUUCUGGAAUUCCACAACCAACAACAAAGACAACAUUAAUUCACUAACUGAUUAUCAGAGCAUAUCUAAUAAUGAAAGAAUAACAAUGAAUAAAGAUUAAGCGGAAGCAGCCUCUGAAUAUGCCUCGACUCCAUGUACGCUCGACCUCAAUUAAACUUAGCCUGCAAACUGGGCAUUUAAAACCAAAGGGCCCAGGGGAAAGCAAUUUUAAAAACAUUAGAGUGAGUGGACAAAAAUAAAUUAAACAAUUUAACAAAAUACGUAAUUUAAAUACUUUUCCACGUUUCAAUUUUAAAAACUUAGUUGCACGCAACUUUCGUAGAUCAUAUAACUUAAAUUCCAGAAACCCAAUAGAAUGGACAAAGAGCCCCGCUGGUUAAUCAAAUAAAGAAAUCUCGUAAGAGAUAAAUCAGCCCCGCUGGUUAAUCAAAUACAUAACUGAGAAAAUAAAAUAAGAGGAAGAGUUAUCACUAUCUAAGAGGAGCCUCCAAGGCUCGGGUCGGUGCCUACCAGGCUAUAGUAGCGUCCCACGCUAAGUGCUCAACUCACCUAUGGUGAGGACCGCUAAAUAAAGCUAGCUAGCAAUAAAUAAUAAUAUCCGAUCGGUGCCUCCCAGGCUAUAGUAGCGUCCUAUGCUAAGCGCUCGACUCACCUAUAGUGAGGACCGUUAAUAAAGCUAGCUAGUAAUGAAAUAUAAACGACCCUAUAUUAUGCUGACUAAAAACAUACGAAAUCACUUAAAUCCAUUAAACUUCCCCAAGAUCAUACGAAUGGUAUGGUUCCCAACCGUACUUGAAAAUCAUCAUAAAAAAUUAUAUUAAAACUCAAUGACAUGUCUCACACGUCAAAAUAUUCUCAAAGCCAUAAUAUAAACAAGGUUUAAUUAACAAGUAAAAAUCAUAAUUAAUAUCUCAAACCAAAAUACUCGCUAAAAUAUUCUCAAGGUCAAGAUCGAUAUUCCAUAAAUAAAUACGAAAAUUAUAAAUAGCGAACUACCGAAAAUCCCAUUUUCGGAAACCUUUUGUAAAUCUCAAAGUCCACAAAUAAAACAAUCAUAAUGAAAUCCGGAAUUUAUAAAGAAUAUCCAAACUCAAAUACCAAAUUAAUAAUCCAAGCUCAAAUCCAUGAAUCAUGACCAACCAUUAAUCAAUGCUUCAAACUCAAAAUUUCCAAGAUCAUCUCAUAAGCCGAAAUUAUAAUAUAAACUUGGAAAAUAAAAUAAUAUAUUAUUAAAUCUUGCAUGCAUAUUUAUUUAAAACCAAAAUGUCCACUCACAAAUUUAGGCAUAAGCCCGACGAUACCCGAAUCGCCACUCAAGUGAGGUUCCCUUCAUAUCCUAGCACAAUAACCAUGCUUAGAACCAAACUUGAAUUCCAAAAAAUAAAUACUUAAAUAUAAACUCCAAAACUCUUCCGCUUAACUCACUACCCUUACUAGGGUUAUGUUCACCGGAUUCCCACCAAACUCCACCACAACCUUAAUUCAUCAAUUCUAACAUUCUAGAAUAAUUACCAAGGAAAUCCAACGGCCGGAUUUUCAUUUUAACAACCGCCAAAAUUUUCAAUCUUUGAAAAAUCCCAAACCUAACCAAAACUCUUCCAAAAAUUCCAAACUUCACAUCAUUAAACUCCUCUCAUUAAAACAAACUCAAAAACAUGAAAAACUACCCCAAAGCGGCGGCGGCCGGUCAGCCCAAUUCCGGCGACCUCUAUUGGCUACCAAAUUCUGACACAAUCUUCCUCUCAACAUUCCAAACAACUUUCAUAACUACCACAAAGUCCAAUUUCAAGCCUAACAAGGGUAAUCGAAGCCAAACAUUAAAAAUCCCAAAUUUAAAACCCUAAAAUUUCAAACCUUCGAUUCUCCUUACCUAGCUCGAAUCUUUUUAGGGGUUUGCUACUGGAAGGGAGAGCUUCCAAAUGAUACCAACAGCUCCAGCUAUGGUGGCCGAAAAAGAGAGUUUCCGGUGGAAACACCUCCCACUACCAGGACAAGCAUUUUAGCCGACGAAAAAGUUAGCUUAAUUCGUCGGCUAAGAUCUUACCCGACUAGCCUUCGUCGGCUAUAGUUUCGUCAGGAAAAAGGCGUCGGCGAUGACUUUAACAGACGAAACUAGAAAACGUCGUCGGCUAUUGUCACAGUAUUUAGCCGACGACAGAAGACGUCGUCGACCAUAGUUUGAGAUUUAAGCCGACGAAACAUUUAAGAUAUUAGUCGGCUAAAGUAUGUAAUAAAAAAUUAAAAAAUAACUGUAGCCGACGAAAUAUAAUCUGUUUCGUCGGCUAAAGCCGACGAAACAUGCCAUAAUUCGUCGGCUAAACCUUAUAAAAAAACUUAAAAAAUACUAUAGCCGACGAAUAUAAUCGGCUAAAGUAUUUAAAUAUUGUCGGCUAAAGUUGCUAGUUUUUGAAAAAAAAAACUGCAGAAACUUUCGGCCACCUCCAAUCACCAUCAAAAUUUGACAAAAUCUUCCUCUCAACAUUUCGAACAACUUUCUAGAAGAAGUCGAAGCCCAAUUUUAAGCCUAAACAGGUCAAUUGAAUCAAAAUAUAAAAAUCUCCAAUUUUAAACCCUAAAAACUUCAAAUCUUCGAUUCCCCUCACACACUCUGAAUCGAGCUACUAAAUUCUAGGGGAAUGUAGUACUAAUUAAACUCAACUUAUCCAUAUAUAGAACUCACCAAAUAGUGACCUAAGGAAGGAGAAAUUCGAUCGACACCGAAUCCGAACCGGCGGAGUUUUGGAGCUCGAUUUAUCCCUCACGGCGGUGCCACUCGAUGCACCACAUGUCCAUCAAUGAAAUAGAGACGACGGCGAAGCUUUUGGGAGAAGUGUGGCGGUCUGCGGUGGCUUGACAGCGGAACUAGGCCGAGAAGAAAAUCCGGCAGGCGAAACAAUAACUUUUUCUGAUUUUCUGACUCCUUACCAUCCACCUCCGGUAAAACUCCUAUAUAAAGAACUUUACUCGACGAAAUUCUUUAUUUUCGUCGCCUAAACUCUUUUGAAAAUUUUGGUUGACCGCUAAAAUUUUUUUGACAAUAGCCGAUGAAAUCAUAUAUUUUCGUCGGUUUAAGUCCUUUGAAAAUUUUCCUCCGAAUUUGGUUUGCCGCCAAAUUUUUUUUGACAUUAGCCGACGAUUUUUUUAAUAUCUCGUCGGCUAAAGUCUAAAAAUUCACGAAAACGCUUAUAUCUCCCUCUAUAUCACGAAAAACUUUCACGUAGAUGAGACGCAACCGCCUAUAUAAAAAUUUUGAGACAUUUACCUUCCGACGAUAGGGCUCCCCAUAGGGAAUAAUAACGGUAAAUAGGGUUGACCGCUACUAUCGGCACCGAGAUGUUACCCGAUUUAUAUGAUUUUUGAACCAUAGCUUUAUUUCACCAUUCUAAACACAUCUUAUUUCACGAGAAUUUUGAUAAUUUUGCUUCCUUUGUAGAGUUGGUUCACAAAGUUGUAUAACCUACUAAACAAGUUAUACUACAACAUUAGUAAACACGUUGUGAUUCCGAUGACUACAAUUCACAAACCAAAAUUUGACCGUCAGAUAUGAUCAUUAUGACGAAAGAUGUCUAUGGUAAAAAAUUCAACUGGAUUCGACAACGUUAUGGGCUCGAUCGAAACGGUCAACUCUAAUUGGAAAUAAGAAAACUGCAUUUUGAAGCCCUAAACGGACUCAUAUGGCCCAAAAGGCCCAUAUAUCAUGGAAAUGCCAUGAGUUUGACUCCUAGGGCCGUUACGCUUCCGGAAAGGUAUCAGAAUAGUCAAUCGGACACCGAACACCAAAUCUGCAACAUACCGGGUUUCGACUGUUCUACAUCAGAGACGUUACCCGAUUUAAGUGAUUUUUGAACCAUAGCCGUAUUUCACCAUUUUGAACACAUCUUAUUUCACGAGAUUUUUGUUAAUUUUGCUUCUAUGUAGAGUUGGUUCACAAAGUUGUGUAUUUAUUUAAAACCUACUAAGCAAGUUAUACAACAUUUUAUUGUUUUUCUUUUAGCCGAUGGAUAAUAACCGACGAGAUUUUUUUCGUCUAGUAAAAUACUUUAGCCGACGAGUAAAAACUUUGGCCGUCGAAGGAAAACUUUGGCCGACGAAAAAAAAUUUCGUCGGCUAAAGUAUAGUAUAGCCGACGAA